rnacentral:lncRNA from 1 species
GCAGACGCACCACAUCGUAGUCCACAUCGUGCCCUAUCUUUUUGCAGUUGAGGCCCCAGGCGAGGUUAUCGUGUGUUGUACGGAGCUCUUUUAAAUUCUUUUCCAUGUGCAAGUUGUGGCGGGUCAGCAGUGCACAACGCUUUUGUUGUCCCAAAUAACUGUUCUCUACAUAAAGCGGUGGAGAGGACAUUCUCAUUUUAAUAGCCACUUGAUCCUUACCGCCUGACAACUCUGCAGCAGGCGUGGGAGAAGGGCUCGAUCAUGUAUAUUCCAGGAAGACUAUGGGUGUUUCAUCUGUGAGACUAGUAGGAAGAUAUCAUCCCUCCUGGCUUUACAGUGUCACUGGUUGGGGGAGGAGUGCCCACAUUCCUGUAAGUAACCUCUCAUCUGUGCUCUGAAAGAAAGCCCAAUUUACACUCAUUGUUUUUCCAGAGUAAACUUUGGUUUGUCUUUGGGUCCUGGGGAGGAGGGUUAAAUGUACCUCUAAUCUUGGAUAGCAAUUUUAGAAACAGUUUCUUUUGUUUUCUUAUUCUUAGCCAUUCUGACUGGGGUAAAAUGAAAUCUCUACUUUUGUUUUUUGUUUUUGUUUUUUGAGACAGGGUUUCUCUGUUUAACAAGCCUGGCUGUCCUGGAACUCAUGCUGUAGACCAGGCUGGCCUUCAACUCACAGAGAUCCUCCUUCUUCUGCCUCCUGAGUGCUGAGAUUAAAGGUGUGCUCAAGUUAGUUUUAAUUUCUAUUAUUUUCCUGGUGGGUGAUGAUGAUGAAUUCUUUAAAAAUAUUUUUUAGACAUCUGUAUUUUGUUUUCUAAGAGCUUUAUCCAGUUCUGUAGCAUUCUGUUUAGUUGUGUUUCUUGCUUUCUUGGUAUUUAGUUAAAUUUACAGUUGCAAAUCCCUCCAUGAGUCUGUAGAAUGCCUCUUAAGUUGAUUAACAAUUUCCUUUGCACUAUGGAAGUGUUUUAAUUGUAUUAACUGGCAGCUGUUAAUUGUUGCUCUUAUUUCCUUGGGGACCAUAGUCCUAUUCAGAAAAUCCUUACCUUAGCCUAUAUCCUGAACUGUAUUUCCAACUCUUUCUUCUAGAACUUUCAGGUCUAACAUUGAGAUACUUGAUCCAUUUGGAAAUGAUUCAUGUCUAGGAUGAGAGAGAAAGAUAAACAUUCAUUCAUUUGUGAAGGUACCCAGCUUCCCACCAACCAUUUGUUAAAGAUACUGUCUUUCUCCAAUACAUAUUGUUGACACCUUUGUCCAAAGCAGGUGACUGUGUACUCUAAUUUUAUUUUAUAUUAUAUUUUUAUUAUAGCUGAGUAGUGAAAUCAUGGAUCAUUUCUUUGUGGUGAGAUCAUUUGAAAUGUGUUUCCAGAUGUUCAGGACAUGGAUCAGCUGACAAAGUGCUUGCUAAACAGAUAUGGGAACACGAGUUUGAUCUCAAGAACCUAUUUAGGCGCUGAGCUUAACCUGUGCCACAGUGCUCCAUACCCAUACUGCCUGGAGAGAGCUGGUCUCCCAGAAGUGUGGACAAGCCUGUGAGCACAGGUAAGACCACCACUUCUCCUUCAAGGGACCAGCUCAGAGACCUCAGGACCCAGGAACUGAGGAGCAGUUUGGGACAGGAUCCUUCCAGUUUCUGUCUGAGCUGGGGAACUGACCCUGUACCACAGCUCUCCAUACCAAAAUACUCCCAGGAGAGAGCUGGUCUCCCAGGAUUGCUGACAUACCUGUGAGCACAGGUAAGACCAACACUUCUGCUCAAAUCCCUGGCCUAAGAAGGACCACCCCAGAGCCAUCAGGACACAGGAACCAAGGAACCCAGUUUCCAUCUGCAUCCCAGACCUGACACUAUGCCACAGCUCUCCAUACCCAAACUCCUGGAAAGAACUGGUUUCCUAGGGGUACUGACACACAAAUUUGCAGGAGGGACAAACCACAGUAAGAGACAGCAAGACCAGCUAACACCAGAGAUAACCAGAUGUCGAGAGGCAAAAGCAAGAGCAUAAGCAACAGAAACCAAGGCUACAUCAUCAGAACCCAAAUCUUCCAUCAGAGUGAGCCCCAACACACCAGAAAAGCAAGAUUCUGAUUUAAAAUCACAUCUCAUGAUGAUGAUAGAGGACUUUAAGAAGGACACAAAUAAUUCCCUUAAAGAAAUACAGGAGUACACAGGUAAGCAGGAAGAAGCCCUUAAAGAGGAAACACAAAAAUCCCUUGAAGAAUUACAGAGAAACACAAACAUUGAAGGAAUUGAACAAAACCAUCCAGGAUCUUUUGUUUGUUUGUUUGUUUUUCAUUUGUUUGUUUUUGUUUUUGUUUUUUUUUUUUUGAGAUAGGGUUUCUCUGUGUAGCCCUGGCUUUUCUGUACUCUAUAGACCAGGCUGGCCUUGAACUCAGAAAUCCACCUGCCUCUGCCUCCCAGUGCUGGGAUUAUAUGUGCCACCACUGCCUGGCAACCAUCUAGGAUCUAAAAAUGGAAAUAGAAAC